CCUACGGGAGGCAGCAGUGGGGAAUAUUGGGCAAUGGGCGCAAGCCUGAACCAGCAAAGCAGCGUGAAGGAAGAAGGCUCUCGGGGUGUAAACUUCCUUUGACAGGGAAGUGAAGAAGACGGUACAUGACGAAUAAGAUACGGCUAACUACGAGCCAGCAGCCGAGGUAAUACGGAGGUGGCAAGCGUUGUCCGGAUUUAGUGGGUGUAAAGGGCGUGUAGCCGGGUUGACAAGUCAGAUGUGAAAUUCUGCGGCUUAACCGCAGAACUGCAGUUGACACUGUUGUUCUUGAGUACUGGAGAGGCAGACGGAAUUCCUGGUGUAGCGGUGAAAUGCGUAGAUAUUAGGAGGAACUCCAGUUGCGAAGGCAGUCUGCUGGACAGCAACUGACGGUGAGGCGCGAAAGCGUGGGGAGCAAACAGGAUUAGAUACCCUUGUAGUC
rnacentral:rRNA from 1 species